GGAUUUGUCUUGGCUGUUACUAUGACACGGGAAGCAAUUGAUGAAUUUCGGCGUUUUCAGCGUGACAAGGAAGUGAAUUCACAACUAUAUAGCAAGCUUACAGUAAGAGGUAAAGUGCAAGUUAAGAGUUCAGACAUACAAGUUGGAGACCUCAUCAUAGUGGAAAAGGUUGAUGAUUUUUUAAUAUAUUUUAGACCUAUGUAUGCUAGUUAUUAAUGUUUAGCCUGAUUAUAAGUAACUUCUGAAUUUGAAAGAAAUUGAGACAUGUAUUUUGAAUCAUAAUAUCCUUGUGUAAGAUUUGUUGUAUGUGAAGAAAAAUCUAGAUUUUUGUAUAUUGUUUUGCUAAAGUAUAUUUCAGUGUGUGCAGGCAAAGUCAUAUUUUUUCUGAAAUAAGAUGGUUAACUGCUUAAUGUUGCAUUAUCAAGAUUAUUUUAUAUCAUCACAGAAUUGUAUUCAAACCUGUUCAUAAUACUGUGCUUCAGUUUUCAGAACUUCCUCCUACAGGGAUAAUCAUCCCUCAAUAUCCAUGAGAGGGUAGUUCCAGGACCCCACCAAGGAUACCAAAAUCCACAGAUGCUGAAAUUUCUUAUAUAA
rnacentral:lncRNA from 10 species